rnacentral:lncRNA from 1 species
GUGGCCCAUUUGACUUAUGGCAUCAUCGGCUUGCUUUUCAACCUAAGCAAUUUCAUAACCAGAAAGAACGACCUCUUUAUCAAAAUCAGUCCCUAGCUCCCUUCAAUUUAAUCAAUAUCAAUACCAUGUCAGAAUUAUGAUGGUUAGGCCAACCGCUCUACUAUGCUAUACCAUAGGCUCAAGCUAGGCUGCUUCUAGCUUCUAUAUUGAGUGGCCUUUCUACUUUGAUAUAGUUGUAGUUUGUAUUAUACUAAAUUAAAUGCGUCAAACUAAGGUGGUGGUCAAUCAAUAGUUACCCUUCUUC